CACGUUAAGAUAUUAAAUAAAACGCUCCCACUCUGACAAACAAAACAUCGCCUGCUUUUCUGCAACAAUUCUCCGCUGUCUAGGAAAUGCUGAACAAAGAGAUGAAGAUUAGAGAAAUUCCAGAGGUACUUUGGGGUCCACGUCAGAGGACUGCAAUUUCUCCCUGAUUCAGGCUUAAAGAGAAUUAAACCUCAUAUGGUUUCUUCAAAAGACAAUCCUUCUUUACAUCUUCUCAAAAUUUUCAUUGUUCCAGUUGUAUGGAUUGGAAAGAAGUUUCAUUUUUUUAAGGGAAGAAUGGAAGUGUAAGAGCUCUAAGUAACCAAGAUUUACCAGAUGCUUGGAUUUAACUAUGUGGGAAGCAUCAGGAAAGAUGCCAGGCUGGUGAGACAUCACCAUCACUCGAAUGCUCGGAAUGAUUGUUGGCACUUCUUUUCUCACAGGACUGAGGUAGUUUCAAGGUGAAUUCUAUAGAAGAGAAUUGUAUUAUAAGGUUCGUAGUCAAGGCAGAGGUUCAAGCCAGAUGCUGGGGAUUUGCCAUGACAUUGCUUUGCACCGAGAUUUGAACAAUCCCUCCGAGGUUUCAACUGUAUUAUGGUGCCAAAGCAAUACCAGUGGCUAUUGCUUCCGUACCUUGUGCACUGCGGUUUAAAGGUGCUCCUGCCUUGACGAUAGCAGCAGCCUCUACUCGAGUACCACUGUAUCAACAUGAAUAGGGGAAUGAAUGAAAAAUCAGACUCGAAAAUACCAAAUCAAAACAAAAUGGAUUUCUCACACCCACCUUCGGUUUUCAACUGUCAGAGUAAAAUGGCGACAAUAGUUUUCGGCGUUGCAACCCCUUGCCGGGCCAUUAACAGGUGGAGGGUGCGUUGACGUCGACGGAGGAGCAUUAUUAUUCCCCCUAAUGAUGCCAUACGCUAAUGUUGGUGGUUUCUCAGCCGCUUUCAUUGAUGGGCAUAGCAGCAGAAAACUCAAAGCAAAAGCCAUUGCUCCCAUGAGUUCCAAAUUGCCAAAUGUCUUCAUGCUUUUGGGAAAAACAAGAAGUCCAGUCUGCCAAAAAAAAAGAGUGAAGAAGUUUAAGGUACAAAAAAAUGGAAUUCUGGUUGGAGAAGGGAGAUCAGAUAGAUAGUUAUGGAAAAGGAAGAGUUAAUGGAGGUAGGAAAAGAAAAGCAGAAGCAGAAAAGGGGAUUGGUGUGGUAAAACAGAGGACGAUGUUCCCGUGGAUUUGAAGGAAGAUGAGUUCUGACAUGAUCCCCUUUUCUGUUUUUGAGAUAGGUGAUGAUGGCUGGCCCAAAAGAGCCAUCCACCAGCCAUGAUCGCCCCUUCAUGGAAUUGUCAAAAAAAGCAAAAGCAGAAAGGGGACGGUUAAAUAGAGGGCGCAGAGGGGCAAUAGUUUGAUGUUCCUGUGGAUUUGAAGGACGAUGAGUUGUAAGUUUGAGCCUUUGCUAGAACAAAGGAAAUUUAAAAAAUCAAA